rnacentral:rRNA from 1 species
GACGAACGCUGGCGGCGUGCUUAACACAUGCAAGUCGAACGAUGAAGCCGGAGCUUGCUCCGGUGGAUUAGUGGCGAACGGGUGAGUAACACGUGAGCAAUCUGCCCUUGACUCUGGGAUAACUGCGGGAAACUGUAGCUAAUACCGGAUACGACACCUUGGGGCAUCCCAGGGUGUGGAAAGAAUUUCGGUCAAGGAUGAGCGCGCGGCCUAUCAGCUAGUUGGUGAGGUAAUGGCUCACCAAGGCGACGACGGGUAGCCGGCCUGAGAGGGUGACCGGCCACACUGGAACUGAGACACGGUCCAGACUCCUACGGGAGGCAGCAGUGGGGAAUAUUGCACAAUGGGCGAAAGCCUGAUGCAACAACGCCGCGUGAGGGAUGAAGGCCUUCGGGUUGUAAACCUCUUUUAGCAGGGAAGAAGCGAAAGUGACGGUACCUGCAGAAAAAGCACCGGCUAACUACGUGCCAGCCGCCGCAGUAA